rfam:Talaromyces stipitatus ATCC 10500 gcontig_1105507294141, whole genome shotgun sequence.
CUUGAAUCUUAGGAUGAAACAUUUCGGAUGUAAAUCACAGACCUGUUCUGAAAGCGCAAAGCCGUGUGGAUAUUUCCGUUGCCUUCCUUCUGAUCAUUGAU